CUUCAGCCCCGAUGGGAGGGAAAAUCCUUUUAUUUUUUCCUUUAAAAAAUAAAAGAUUGGAAAGACAGCGGGAAUACAU
rnacentral:sRNA from 1 species